ACCAUUAAUUGGCAGAGCCAAUCGAGGGUGCCGGGACCGGUCAAGGAACAAAGUCCCCAUUCCCUUUCGCCAGACAUAGAACCAGACGCAGGGGCCAUGCGAAUGCAAUCUCACGCUCACCCACGCUCUUUCUCUCUCUCUCUUGUCCAGCGCUAAUGAGCGCACCGAGAGCAGCGCACACACUCACAUGUACUUUUGUAAUGAUCAGCGUGUGUGCGCGCAUUUUGCGUACCAAACAGCCUUGUUGUCAGAGCGAGCGAGAGAGAGAUACUUUCGAGCUUUGCUGUGUGGGGGUGCAAGUGCAGCGCACGUAAUGCCCCAUUGUCGGGAUGUCACUGCUUUCACAGUUGGCUUAGGAUCGACUCACCCAUGUUCAAUCACUGUUGACAUGGAACCCUGAUCCAGACCUCACAGCUCCAGGUUGGUUCACCAGAGUACUUGCUACUACCACCAAGAUCUGCACUACCGGCGGCUCCAGCCUGACUCACGUCUUGGCCUUCAACGCGCACCGGCACGCCACCCUACUCGUCGGGGCUUUGAGACUUAUAGUUCUGACUGAGUCGUACUGAAGCCUU
rnacentral:rRNA from 1 species